GCUCACCUAGGCGACGAUCCCUAGCUGGUCUGAGAGGAUGACCAGCCACACUGGAACUGAGACACGGUCCAGACUCCUACGGGAGGCAGCAGUGGGGAAUAUUGCACAAUGGGCGCAAGCCUGAUGCAGCCAUGCCGCGUGUGUGAAGAAGGCCUUCGGGUUGUAAAGCACUUUCAGCGAGGAGGAAGGCGGUAAGGUUAAUAACCUUAUCGAUUGACGUUACUCGCAGAAGAAGCAACGGCUAACUCCGUGCCAGCAGCCGCGGUAAUACGGAGGGUGCAAGCGUUAAUCGGAAUGACUGGGCGUAAAGCGCACGCAGGCGGUCUGUCAAG
rnacentral:rRNA from 1 species